GACAGAGGAUGCAAGCGUGAUCCGGAAUGAUUGGGCGUAAAGCGUCUGUAGGUGGCUUCUUAAGUCCGCUGUCAAAUCCCAGGGCUUAACCCUGGCCAGGCGGUGGAGACUACUAAGCUUGAGUACGGUAGGGGCAGAGGGAAUUUCCGGUGGAGCGGUGAAAUGCGUAGAGAUCGGAAAGAACACCAAGGGCGAAGGCACUCUGCUGGGCCGACACUGACACUGAGAGACGAGAGCUAGGGGAGCAAAUGGG
rnacentral:rRNA from 1 species